AAUGCGCGGCAAAGGUUUUUGUUGCGCAAAAAAUCAAAAAAAUGCGCAACAAAAACCUUUGCCGCGCAUU
rnacentral:pre_miRNA from 1 species